rnacentral:rRNA from 1 species
AGUGAACGCUGGCGGCAGGCCUAAUACAUGCAAGUCGAACGGCAGCACAGCAGAGCUUGCUCUGUGGGUGGCGAGUGGCGGACGGGUGGGAAUACGUGGGAAUCUGCCCAGUCGUGGGGGAUAGCGUAGGGAAACUUACGCUAAUACCGCAUGCGCCCUUCGGGGGAAAGCCGGGGACCUUCGGGCCUGGCGCGAUUGGAUGAGCCCACGUCGGAUUAGCUAGUUGGCGGGGUAAAGCCCACCAAGGCGACGAUCCGUAGCUGGUCUGAGAGGACGAUCAGCCACACUGGAACUGAGACACGGUCCAGACUCCUACGGGAGGCAGCAGUAGGGAAUAUUGGACAAUGGGCGCAAGCCUGAUCCAGCCAUGCCGCGUGAGUGAAGAAGGCCCUCGGGUUGUAAAGGCUCUUUUGUCCGGAAAGAAAGCGCCGGGUUAAUACCC